rnacentral:rRNA from 1 species
UACGGAGGGAGCUAGCGUUAUUCGGAAUUACUGGGCGUAAAGCGCACGUAGGCGGCUUUGCAAGUUAGAGGUGAAAGCCUGGAGCUCAACUCCAGAACUGCCUUUAAAACUGCAUCGCUUGAAUCCAGGAGAGGUGAGUGGAAUUCCGAGUGUAGAGGUGAAAUUCGUAGAUAUUCGCAAGAACACCAGUGGCGAAGGCGGCUCACUGGCCCAUUACUGACGCUGAGGCACGAAAGCGUGGGGAGCAAACAGG